UUCCUUGUCCGCAGCCCGCCAGCCCGUCAAAGCCGAACCCCGCCGCUGGCUUAGCAAAGCGGUUUUCCCGUUUUCGUCCGCUUUUCCGUUCCCGAUCAGUAUUCGGGGAAUAUUAGCAGAUCUCGCAGCCUCGCUACCGCAGCGGCUGAGCCGAAGCCCCCACGCCCACCCCCAUCACAUCGAUUCCAUCUCCUCCUCCCUCUUACCUCUUGCCUGCUCCCAUCUCUCGCCGCGCGAUUCGAAGAGAAAAAGAAACAUGGCGGCGGCUCCGGCGGUCCGAUUUCCGGUGGUGCUGGUGAUCCGGCUGAUGGGGAUCACUGCUGCGGUUCUGGUCAUCACCUGGGCGAUGCAUUUCCGGGGGGGAAUGGCCCUCAUCUCCGACAACAAGGAUCUCAUCUUCAAUGUCCAUCCUGUACUUAUGGUGAUUGGGUUCAUUCUUUUGAAUGGUGAAGCUAUAUUAGCAUACAAGACAAUCUCAGGAACAAAGAAUUUAAAAAAGCUGGUGCAUCUUACAAUCCAGUUCGUUGCCUUGUGUUUGGCUUUAAUUGGUGUAUGGGCAGCUUUAAAAUUCCAUAAUGACAAGGGAAUUGACAACUUUUAUAGCCUGCACUCUUGGUUGGGCCUGGCUUGUCUCUUACUAUUUGGCGUUCAGUGGGGGACUGGAUUUGUGACCUUCUGGUAUCCUGGUGGCUCAAGACAUGGCAGAGCUUUUUUACUUCCUUGGCAUGUAUUUUUCGGGGCAUGCAUAUAUGCCCUUGCCGUUGCUACUGCUGCUACUGGCCUCUUAGAGAAGGCUACAUUUCUUCAGAGCAGCCAAGUAAUAUCACGCUACUCAAAUGAGGCUUUUUUAAUCAACUCCUUAGGCAUAUUGCUUGUACUUCUUGGUGGAUUUGUGAUUCUUGCGGUCAUUACCCCUGGAGCUGUCAAAGGUGAUGCAUAUAGAGGUAUGUCAGAGUAGGCAAAGAUACGGUGCUCCAUUCAAUUGGCCCAUGAUUUGUUUUAUGGGAGCUAUAUUUGUGCACUAUGAUACAAACUUGUUCUUGUAAAGAUGAAAUUUCUGCGGGAAACUUGUCUUAGCUUCACCUCCAUCUUGGCAUUUCUGCACCUGCUGUUCAUGUUUUCUCUUCAGGCGAACCCAUUGAUUGGCGUUUUGUAUCACAAUAUUGGUUGCCUCAGGUAUAAGAUAUCACGACUACAAAUUUCUUAGAUUUAUGUUCUUAGAACGGUCAAAACUUUAAAUGUUAUUUUACAUGCUGGUCAUGGAUGCAAGCAUCUUAAUACGUGGUGCUGGUUAUAUUCUGAUGCAAAAAAAAUAUUCUGUCAUGACAUGGAGGGAAUUGAGCAAAUACAAAUAUGUUGGAGAAGUAACUGUUUGAUAA